UACGAAGGGUGCAAGCGUUAAUCGGAAUUACUGGGCGUAAAGGGUGCGUAGGCGGUUCGUUAAGUCUGUCGUGAAAUCCCCGGGCUCAACCUGGGAAUGGCGAUGGAUACUGGCGAGCUAGAGUGUGUCAGAGGAUGGUGGAAUUCCCGGUGUAGCGGUGAAAUGCGUAGAGAUCAGGAGGAACAUCAGUGGCGAAGGCGGCCAUCUGGGACAACACUGACGCUGAAGCACGAAAGCGUGGGGAGCAAACAGG
rnacentral:rRNA from 1 species